rnacentral:lncRNA from 1 species
CAGGGAUAGCUGGUGUGCGUGCAGCGGAAGGCGCUAACUGCCCUGGAUGUGGAGACCCGCGGACUGGACGUGAGAGGCGGGCAGGGGCAGUUGGGGCAGCUGCCCCUACAACACUGAAGAAUUGGAAUAGGAAAGAGUGUGGGGGUAGGGGACGGGGACUCUUUGUCUGCAGUUGGAAUGCGCGGAGGGGCAUGGUGGAAUGUGUCGCGUCCCGGGACCGGACGACAGGAGGCAUGUUCUGCGCUAGCACCGUGACUUUGUUCCCAGCGUGGGGACUGUGGGAGAGAUGGAGAGAGACUGGUACAGAAAUGGUGAGACAAGGAGAGAGCCAUAAAGAGGAAGACAGAGAGAAAGAAGACAAAUGCAUAAAGAGGUUCAGAGACGUGUACGUAAAGAUAGCCCUGAAAGGCGACGAAGCCCACAGAGAGAGGUGGAAGAGGGAAGAGGUAGCGAAAGAAAGGGAGAGCUGAGGAGCAAAGAGGAGUGUGGACGAUGCAGAGACCGAAGGGUGCGCAGACAAAGGAAAGGACAAGCUUGUCCAGAGAGAAUGAGAGACAAACAGAUAAACUGCAAUAAAAAGGCACCACCUUCUGGACCCAAAAGUUUUGUGAUUUGUAAAAGCAGUGAAAAGGAGUCAGGAAAAUGGGACUAAUCUCUACUUUGAGAGGGAGGGAAAGAGAUAUAGUGUGUAUGUAGAAGCAGUGAAAAGGAGUGAGGAAAAGGUUUGGGACUAAUCUCUACCUUAAGGGUAGGACAGUUAGAGGGAUAGACACCCCCUGGUGUUGGGAAAUGAGAUUUUUCUCAUUUCAGGUGACUGUGGAGAUCGAAGGCCUGGUUUUAGGGCUAGCGAACACCUUCUCCCUUUGGUUUUGGUCCACAGAAGACUGGUGAUACAGACUCCUUAUCAGUGUAAUUGUGGGGACUGGUCACCAGCUCUUGCUUGAGCUUUUCCAGAAGAAACUUCACUACUGAAAUAUUCCAAGAGGACUUGAUGCUGCCACAAAGAGAAGAGAAUGAAUAAAGUUGUCGGCUUUGUAAGAGCCAGACAAACAGAGAUACCCAGCACUAAUCAACUUUGUGGCAAAUCCCUCCACAGCCUAAGAAGGUCCUCCCUUGAGCUGGAACCACGGAGAGUCCUGACCAGCCACAGACUGGGGCAUCCUCGCCAGGAGAGGCAGAGUCCAUGGAGCAGCCGAGACAGCUGUGGAAGAGAAGGUGCCAUGCGGAGCUACUGAGAGAGAGGGAAGGGCACCCCAUCACUACACACAGCAAAAAAUGACCUUCUGCCAAAGAAGCUGAUGGUUCAGGAAGAAAAUAGAGCUGACUAUCCCUGAAGGAAAAGGAAACGUGGUACUGUUUUGCUUUAUCACAAAUACAAACAAAAGGUUUAAAGAUGGAAAGAAAAGAACAGAAAGGAAAAAGAGUGAAAAGCCAGGAAAAGCACCUAGGAGGAAUAGCCCUCUGCUGCCAU